GGGGGGGGAACAAAGAAAAGAAAUAAGCAGCACUUGCUGCUGGGCAGGAGAAAAAACCGAGAGGAGGCAUUAGCCUCGAGGACAGAGAGCAAAAAUCUGCCUCUUGGCAGCAAGGUCAGAGACCACGGGGCAGCAAGGUCAGAGACCACGGGGCAGCAACUCGGAGGAAUAAAACAGCACCGAGUGGAAGGGCUGUUGUCUUGGCGAUGCCGAGGUGACCAGAAACCAAGGCUGCCCUUGGCAGCGCAGAAAUAUAGGAGAAGGGAGCCUCGGUGCAGGUAGCUGGUGGGAGCAAAACAGAAGCUCUAAAGCAAGGAAAGGAAAACAGAAGCCACGGACAGAAGCAAAAAUUCCUUUAUCUCUCGGUUAAAUCUUUCCAAACUUAUAUUUUAUUUCUGUUUUAAUAAUGUGUAACUAAAUUUAUUUUGGCUAGAGGUUAAUUCAAAGCCAUGAAUAUAUUUGUAAUAUGAAUUGAUUACCUUCAAUUGUGAUUUCUGAGUUGUGAUUUAAUUUGCUUAACUGCUUGAUUGAUAACUUAUUUUUGUAUGUCGAUUAAGAAUGCAUACUUAAUUUACAUGCAUGAAUUUGAUGCUAGAAUAUAAGUAAAUUUCACCUAAUCGUUAUGAACUUAUAUUCACAAGUAGUGAAGGUUGCUAGUCACAAUCACGUUAAGUAAAUUCUUGGCAAGAGUAUCAUGCUUUUCAUAGUUACGAAUGCCUCGUCAAUGCUUAUAGUUUUCACAGAGUUUAAUGAUCUUUGAUUGUAUCUCUAUUGUGCUUUUCACGUAGAGGACUUUUGAAGAAUGUUUUGAAUUGUUGUAUGCGUUUUUCCGUCCAAUUCAAUAACUUAGGGAAAACUUGAAGAUUAAAAAAGUGCUGUUCACGGUUAAUCUGAAGUAUUGAGAUUCACAAUUUAUUGAAAGAACAACUGAAAAUCAAUUUAGGUUGCAUAUGUGUCAUGUGUGGAGAAAAACCCUCUAGCUAAUCCGUCACCUAUCCUUUCACCUUAAUUUCAUGCUUUUGUCAAUUCUGUAAUUUAUUUAAGUUUAAUUUACUUCUCGGCAAAACCAAAACCCCCCCCCCAUUAUUAAAUUAUAUUAUCUAGUUAGUUUUCAUUGUUGUUAGUCUUUUAAUUCAAUUUCCGUCCAUUGCAGUUCCUAGUGUCUAAUUUGAUUGUUUUCAUU
rnacentral:lncRNA from 1 species